GGCAAGGUGGCCGAGUGGUUAAGGCGCCAGACUAAGGAACAUGGAUUUCUAUGUAAAUCUGGACCAAGGCAGGUUCUGCCUACGAUGAUAUCUGGUCCGAAAGGGCGUGGGUUCGAGUCCCAUCCUUGUCA